UCUGCUGCUGAGACGAUGUGUUCACAGGAAACCUGAAGAACGAGAAGAAGCUGGAGAAGAUGACAUUAUAUAUGACAAUGAAAUAACAUACAGCACUGUUAAAAUAUCAAAUGAUCAAAAAGAUCCAAUCAGGUGAUGCAGAGAGCCAGAUGUCGUCUACUCUUCACUGAAGUAGUCCACCAGUCCAACCACUGUCAUCCAGC